UUACACACCACUGUGAGGCGCUAGAUCGUAUAGGCACAGUGCAGAAACGCCAUGUCUCCAAUAGGCGGCGCAGACAAAGUCACGGUCCCACAAAUAAAUAAGCCCAGUGAUUCAAAAAUACACAUUAUUACACACAUUAUCAGCCACCAGUAUCAGGUUAAGAUUUAUUAUUAUGAAAAUAAAAGCUUAAAUGUAUAGAUUUUUCAGUUAAUAUAGGGUAUUUUAAGCUGAAUGUAAGGUGUACUCUUGUAAUUCCGCAAGUCUUGCCGCUGGGGGGCGCCGAAGUAAACAAAACUGGAAACUUUGAUUCUUAAAAAAACAUUUUCUUUUAGUCAAACGAGCACUGGACUUUAAUCUACACAGGUUUCUCUCCUGAAAACAGUUUAUUUGGGUUCUGCAUGCUUGCCAUCCCUACUGCCCUGAGUCUUCAAAUAUUGGUCAAACUGCAUUCCAGAGAGAGAGAAGGAGAGAGAGAGAGAGAGGGAGAGGGAGAGACUAUUCUACCAAGUGCUGAGGCUGAUUGGCCACCAGAGGGCAGUAUUGGAUGUGGAUAGCAGAGGAGCACUUUCAAAAUGAUGUUACAGCACUGCGGAGCUCCAGCAGCUGUUGGAACAUGUGGCCAAUGACUGAGCUUUACUCAGGUGUGCUAGAACAAGGAGGCAGAGUACCUGCGC